AACCGCGUUCGGAAGGAAUAGGUUGUCGUGGGGAUGGAAUCCAGCCAUGUUAUCGACGCGAGAAUUUGGGGUAAGAAAAAAAAUAUUUAGAUGAACUAUCUAGAUAAUUAUUUAGGAAAUCUUCAUUAGUUCUAUCGCUAUUUGUAAAGUGCAUGCCAGUUAUAUGUAAUCAACACAGGAUAGGCCUUCGAAUAAGUGACCUCAACUCCAAAUUCACAAGGAAUAGAGGUAAAGCAAAAAUUUUACCGAUUCUAAGUCUAUAACAUCCUAGUUACAUAUAACUUUAGCGUAUCCACUUAGCAAUUAUCAACUUAGGAAUGAAGAUUCCAUUUUAGUUCUCAAGUAUAAAGUAAUUAUAGUAACACAAAACACCCCUAUGGUAUUUUAGACUUAGGUUCUGUUAUAAUGUUCUCAUUGUGGUAAUGUUGGUAAGUUUUUAGACUUGUUGCCAUAUCACAACCAUUCUUGGGCAUGUGCUAAUCACUCCUUGGAACAACAUAGUUGAUCAGGCUAUGCCACUCCCAAGACUGACCAUACAUCCCCGAGCUUACCUGUGAUAUUCAACAAUCUCAAUACUUUUUUUCUUGUCAUUGUGACACGGAUUUUAGUAUGAAUGCUCCAUCUUCUCAAAAACAUGGCCAUCGCACCUGUCUAACUGAUGACCAGAGAAUACAAGUUAUUUUGAAAGCGAGUAUCAGCUUUAAAGCUGGUGAAUUCAUAAGUAUUUAUGUGUUAUUGUCCUGUUUUGGAAUGCUGUUAAGAAUGUCGUAUAAAUCCUUAAAUAGAACAGUUGAUAUAACUAUGAAAUGUGGUCUUCUUCCAAGCCCCGAAUGUUUUGUUAUGACAAAGUAAAAUGAUAGGUUUUCCUUUCUAUUGACUAGUACUGAGAGUACUUAGUCUAACUCAUCGUUUAUGUGAAUAUAUCACAAAAUAAAGUAAAAUAGGAAAAUGAUAUGAUAGUCUUCUACCAAGACCUAAACGUUUUGUAAGUAAAAUGAUAGUUUUUCCUUUCUAUUGACUAGUACUAAAAGUACUUAGUCUAACUCAUCGUUUAUGUGAAUAUAUCACAAAAUAAAGUAAAUAGGAAAAAUAUAACCAUGUAAGUGUUAUCGCUGGUUACCAGGACUAAUACGCCAUCGCAAUAAGCGACAUGUCUAACCUAAUGAACAUACAAAGAUUGUCCAAUUGUCCUCUGUAGCAGCAGCAGGUUGGAGGAAGGGUUAGUCCCGUGGCCGACUCUUAAUACAAGCGUUAACCUAAUAAUCAUCCGAAGAUUUUCAUCACAUCCAUUGUUGCAACAGCAGGAGGGAGGUAUGGUUAGUCCCAGAACUGACUACUAAUAUAAGUAACAACCUUAGACAUUUGUAGAUGUUCAUCACCCAGUGUUGCUAACAGUUGGGUUCCGGAAUGGUUAGUCCCAUCUAUACAUCCCAUCGAACAGGGAUAGACAGGAAAAUUUACACAGAAUGUACGAAUAAAUCUUCCUAAUAUAAGUGAUAACCUUAGACAUCCAUAGAUGUUCAUCACCCAGUUUUGAUAACAACUGGGUUCCGGAAUGGUUAGUCCCGUCUAGACAUCCCGUCGAACAGGGAUAGGCAGGAAAAUUUACACAGAAGGUACGAAUAAAUCUUCCUAAUAACUCUAGGUACAAGUAUCCAGGUAAGUGAAUACAUGAUAAUGUAUCUAUGUAACAGUACUCAGGUAUGUUAUUCAUGUAAGCGUAUUCAGAUAAAUUUAUCUAUGUAAACUUACUCAUGUAUCAUGUAAUCCUAGGUAAAUGUACUCAUGUAUGAUGUAAGCAUAUGUAAGUGUACUGGUAUAGACUCAUGAAUGAACUGACUCCUGUGUGAUUCCUUGUAAUAGGAAUAAUGUUUGAUAUCUGCUAACUAUCCCUAUGAUAGUUAACAGAAAGGUAAUUGGUUGUUCAAGUAGGUUGAUACACUCUUGCUACCCAAGAGUGUUGGAAACUAAAUGAAGGGUGAAAACUAUAAUUUCUAACAUAUAUAUGAACAUAUGCGUAUAAGUAUAGUUUGGUUCAAGAAGGUAAAAAUGGUUUUGUACAACAUCUAAGAGUUUUGAACAAUAAUUAACAAUGAAUUGGUGUCAGUUUAAUAAACAUUUCAAAAGUGAUACAUUCGAUGACAAAGUAUUUUUAAGAUUUAAAACCAUUUCAUGCAUCAUAUUUUGUAGUAUGUGAAAUCUGUUGAUUUAAAACACAGUUAUAAAAUACAUAUAAAUGAUUUAAUAACAUGUUGUUUUCUACUUGUAUUCCCCCCCCCCAUUAAAGCAUUUAAAAUCAUUUAAAACGUUGAUUAGGGGUAUGAACUCACCUGUUGUGGGUGAUACGGAUGAACUAAACAGGUAGGGCUGCUAGGUAUCAAGUGAAAUCUUGAACACACUUACGAUCCUAGUUAACAUAUAAUUUCACAUAUAUGUAACAAAUUAGUCUAUAAACAACUAAUAAACAAGUCAAGACACCCUAGGACAUGCUAAACACCUUUACCAAGUGUUAUUAGCCUCUAGGAUUGCAUCUAAGUGUUUGUAGGGGAAGCUAUUGUGUGUAGGGCUCAAGGAAAACUCCACCAUGAAGUUCACGGCCCUAAUAACACUACCAAAUGAGUUUACGGUCGUAAACUCAUGAGUUUACGGCCGUGAACUCAUACCUAUGUGUCUAUUUGAAGUUUGAUGCUCUAUAAGGCCCUAAUAAGCAUUUCUACUUAAUGGAUUGGUCUAUGGAAGAGUUUAGGGCAUAAUAUAACUCCUUUUAGGAGUUGACGGCCCUGGGACCAUAUUCCCUUGGAGAUUACGGCCGUAAUCUCCCUUGGGAAGAUGUUUAUGGUGUUUUCAAGUCCCUAAAUUAAGUAGGAACUAAACUAGGCUUUUGUACAAGGCUUAAGAGGAGUUUAUGGCACCAUUUGGCACCAUUUUAUGGUGUUCACGGCCCUAGAACCUUUUGGGCCGUGAAUACCGUACUCUUGGUGUUCUAAGUGUGUUAGCUAGUCCCAAACUCAUUUAGGUACAUGCCCAAAUUAGUCUCUUGGCUUAAGGAAGGUUUUAAGGGCUUUUUGGCACUUAAACAUGGAGUUCACGGCCGAAGAACACCCUUGGCCGUGAACUCACUUUUCAUCCUUGUUUCUAAUUGAUUUUGGUAUCAUAAAUAUGUAAUGAAGGCUUCUAGUUUGAGUUCUAAGGCUUUGAGGGACUUAGGGAUACUUUUAGCCCUUAAAAUGGAGUUUACUCUCCGCGUGUUCUUGGGCGGUAAACUCCCAAAUCUUGGGGUCUUGAUCCGGUUUUGAUGUUUUCUAGUCAUAUACACACUAGCAUACAAGCCUAAGGUAGUUACCUAACAUGGGGAAAAGAGUAGGUAGCAUUUAAGCCACAUAUAGGAGUUUACUCUCGAAGAACGUUCUUAGGCGGUAAACUCCCGAAUCUCACAGAUUUGCUAUGUAAUCUAAGUUAUUAAGCACAUUAUAAGCAUUAUAAGACAACUAGAGAAGUGUACUCACGAUUUGGGAUAAAAACCCGAAGAUCCGUGAGAGAGAAAAUGGCUGUUCUCUAGUUGGAAAUGUAACUAAUGACAUAAUUUGGUUUAGAAUUCUAUUUAUAGUCCUGAGAUAUUUUUGGCAGAAAAUAUUUUUAUUCCCGAAAUGAUUUCAAAUAUAACCAAGUGUUGGAAUAAUAGUGUUACACAAAACCCUAGUGCAUCCACUCUCCUGAUAUCUCCUUAAGUGUAAAUCGUGAAAAACUCAAACUUAUACCCAAAGUUUGGAAUUUUGCUGAAACUGUUCUAACUUCUAUUGGCUUGAUAUGGUUUGUUUAAAAUGGAAAUUUCGAGUUGUCAUAUCAUCCCCCUGUUAAAGGGAAUUUCAUCCCGAAAUUAGAAUAUAGAUAAGGAAGUAGGUAUAAAUGAUCGAGUCGUUAGGUGAAAACUUCUUAAUCGAUUUGCUCUCGCGCUCCCAAGUGAAAUCGGGUUCUCAGUUGGUAUUCCAACGAGCCUUCACUAAUGGGCGACGGGGUUGCUUCGUCCGCUUGGCCACUCGGUCGAGUUUCACUACGGUUCUAAUACGAAGACGAGGAUCUCAUAAAUCUCAAUCUCGUCGAGAGGGAUUACAAAAGUCCUAACAGAAAGAUAAUGUUUCAAGUUCGAGACGCGAAGGGGAAAAUGUACGUUAUUGAGUUCGCGGAGUAGGUCUAAUUUGUGAGAUGUAAGACGGAUUCUGGUAAGAAUCUCGGAGGUCCUAACUAUAUUGGAUUUAGUUUUCCACGCUUUACGAAGCGUAUUAAGCCAUUCCCAGAGCGAGGAGUCCUAAAAAAUUUGGUCUCUCACUUGGAAUUCCAAAGGUUCAUCCUCUCGCUUACUUCCCAGUCAAGGGCCAUCCCUUGUCGGGUCAAAGUCAAAAGGGUUCCUGAAGUUUGUGAGGGAUUCCGAAUGGACUAUGAUAGUAGGCCUGUAAGACCUAGAAUUUGGCGAAUUUCUCGUCGGUGACUAUGGUGCCGACAAAUUCCCAACGGUUUUGGAUAACUUGCCAGAGUAUUCAAGAAUUUCCACAUCACUAAUAGUGUGUCUCAGGAAAUCUGACUCUAAAUUCCAAACCUCAUGUUCAGAGAAAUUUGCAAAAAGUAUNAAGUAUCUCCAGGGUAAUGUUUCCAUGGGUUCUUUCUUACUACUAGGGUAGAUAAGUAAGUCAUUUCAUGGAGAAAUGACGAACUGAUUCCAGUAAGAAAGACGUACUCCACUCAUUUAGCUCAUGAAUAUUGUGGGCGUAUUGGUUCUAUCCGAGGGGUAUCACUACUGACUUGAAAUGUCCGCAUUGAGUUCGGAGGAUAGUCUUCAGGACAACAUCCUUCCCUAUGACAUCGAACUGGUGAUAUUCGGAUCUCAGGUCCAUUUCUAAAAGUACUGUUUCCCUGUGUUUACUCAAUCAAUUCGUCUAAGCGAGGCAGAGACAACGAUUUCUAAAGGAAAUCUAAAUGAAGUCUCCAGUAGUCGAGGUACAUAUGAUGCACUCCGUCGACUUUUGGUAAGAAUAAGACCGGAGCUCUCAAGGGUGACAAACCUGGUCUUCUAAUUCUAUUGUUGAGUAGUUCGUUGUGUUGUCCGGGCUGUUCUUGUAUCUUCCGUAGAUGUUUAGACUGUAAGGCGUUCUGGUUAUAAGAGUCAUACUGGGUCCUAAGUUUGUUCACAUGCUAAAUGCAAUUACUCGUAGUCUUGGGCAGUCUCCGUCCUGAAGUUCAUAUUAUAAUUCAUACAUGGUUCAAUGAUCACAAUUUCGUGUAUACGAGUCGUAUAUAAUUAAGGUUGAAAAGCUAGUCGAAUAACUGAUUCUUCCUUAAUCUCACAUCCCAUUGAGGGAAAAGAAGUUAUAGUGGAAUCAUCAAUUCUAAACCUGUAGAACAUUGAUUAUAUAUCACUCUCAUGUAUACAUUCUUCAGUGAUAGGUCAACUGUAUGAAUCCUGGAAUUGAACUUGACGUACUGCACAAGUAGUACUGUGGGGAUUCCUUCGGAAAGGAAAAGAACUAUAAGGUACUUCAUGCACGAGUUCCUCGGUGUUUUGAUAUGACGGCUUCGCUAAAAGACGUUUACUAAGAAGGAGAUGUACUUAUGAAGCUGGUAUUGUGCGGAUCGAAUUGAAUUGAGUCAUAUGAUAAUGUCAGAAUCAUAUAGAAACUUAAAGACAUUAGAUUUGAACAUAAAAUGUUUACAGACAAAAACAACCAUGCAACCAUGAACAGAGUUACAAUACUUUAAAUUUGUUACAAGACUAUUGCUACGAAUAAGAUAUACUACAAAAGACAAGUAUGCGCAGCACGAGCAUCCCUAUACCGACAGGAUCCCGCAAAAGAUAAGACUCUAGUUGCACUAGUUUUAAACAUGAUUUUGAACAUACAAAAUACUGACGAUUUGGAGGGAACCUAUACUAUAUUAGGGUCCUUAACUGCCUCUUUGCAUUCUGAGGUCAAACUCCUCCGAAUUUGUCGUUGUCCUUCUCUGAUGGACAGUCCAUCUUGAAGUGUCCCAUGACGCCACAUAUAUGGCAUAUCUGAGAGGUUUGGACAUUGGUGGUUGAAGAAAUGUGUUGGAUCUAGAUCCUGCAGUAACUGGCAGUAUGUCCAUUUCUGUUGCACUUAUAACAGUGUAACGGUCAGCACUACCCAGAUGAUGAAAGCUACACUCAUAGCAUUUCGGUAGGUUUCCGGCAUAUUGUCUGGCUGGUGUGGGGACCAUUGGGACACUAGAAGGAAUGGUCAUAGGAGGUGCAGAUGUCGUAGCGGUGUUCUUAUUCGCCCCUCGAAGCGAUUUGUUCUUCCUUUUGGCCGAAAACUUCCGGCUGUUACUCUUGGUCUCGGCACUCGGGGUAUCGUGGUAGUUUAUUGCUCGUUGCGGUGCUUGAUUGUUACUUGGAUUGGAAUUGUUGUUAACAAUCCCACUAACACUUGCGUUGUUAGCGUUCAGAUGUGUCAGAAUAGCUGACACGGCAGCCGAGACUGCAGCUUGAAAGAUAACUGCAUCAAUCUGAAGAGUUGAUGUUUGGUUGAUGGGCUGAUCGUUUUUCUUGGGUGACAUGAUUCUGUUACACCGAAAGAAAAUGAAUUUGUGAGCGAGAAUGGUUGAACCUAGACGUAGUUCGAUCGCUCAUGAAAAGAAUAGAAGUAUGUUUUCUAAGGUUCGACCUACAUCCCUAUGAUGCAGUCCUAGCACGGAAUGGAAGUAUGUACACGAAGGUUUGACCUACAUCCCAAUGAUGCAGUCCUAGCAAAGAUCGGAAGUAAGUUCGUGCAAUGGUCUCAAGAUGCUUGUCGUUCUAGCCGAGGUGUCGUUGGUUGGCGAAUAAUGUGAUCCAACCAUUAAAAGAGACUCGGAGAUGUCUCCGGAGUUAAAUUGCUAUAGUCCAAUGACUUGACUAGAGCAUGUUUCAAAUAGACUCUAAUGAAAGUAUGAUAAGAGUAUUCGAAUAAAGAAUGACACAUGAGUUAGCCGGCUGUCAAUAUCUUUGAUAUUCAUGACGUACAAGUUCGGGAAAAUGACCUUUUAAAAAGGUUUUACAUCAUAUCCAGAGAUGAUAGUUCUCGACAGCAUAAAGACCUAACUAAGGUACUUACAAUACAAGAUAGUUUCAUAGAAAAUGCCACAUCGGGCAUAGACAGGAACACGAUUCUUUUCUAACAAGAAAUAUAAAGUAAAGCAUCUACUACUGGCGACGGUCAGCCCUCUGGUGAACUCUCAGAUCAGCCAGUUGGCGUUCCACAUCAAGUAGGUGUCUUUCGUACACUCUCUGGCGUACUUGAAGUUCCAUGACUUCGGCUCGUGAUUCAGCCAGUGCUUGCAGCACAGUUUCAUGAUCUUUCUCAGACCUCUCACGAGCAUGUUCAAGGCGACUGGUGCAAAUCGUAUACAUUGCUCCAUUUGUAUCAACUUCUGCGAUACGUUGUAGAGCUGUCAUGCCCUGAAUUUCGUUUCGGGCAACUCUUCGGAUCAGAAUUGGCAUGCUUCUGUCUGCUGAGCCCCCAUUGCUCAGGUCAUAGAAGCUUCGGUCACCAUUAAAUGGCAUGGGCUGAUAUUGUCCUUGGCUCCAUGUUUCCAAAUAUUCCACCCACUCAGGCGUCGGGCCUUGAAAAGCCGGNAGGGAGCUGCCUGGGGUAGGUUCUCAACCUCGGGUUCGGAGAUGGCAUCGUCUGAAAGGUCUUCAGCAUGGUGAUCAUUCAGAGGGAUUGGAUGAUCAUUAUCUGGUUCUUCUCCAAACUAUCCAACAAUAACCGCGUUCGGAAGGAACAGGUUGUCGUGGGGAUGGAAUCCAGCCAUGUUAUCUACACGAUAAUUUGGGGUAAGAAAAUAAAUAUUUAGACGAACUAUCUAGAUAAUUAUUUAGGAAAUCUUUAUUAGUUCUAUCGCUAUUUGUAAAGUGCAUGCCAGUUAUAUGUAAUCAACAUAGGAUAGGCCUUCGAAUAAGUGACCUCAACUCCAAAUUCACAAGGAAUAGAGGUAAAGCAAAAAUUUUACCGAUUCUAAGUCUAUAACAUCCUAGUUACAUAUAACUUUAGCGUAUCCACUUAGCAAUUAUCAACUUAGGAAUGAAGAUUCCAUUUUAGUUCUCAAGUAUAAAUUAAUUAUAGUAACACAAAACACCCCUAUGGUAUUUCAGACUUAGGUUCUGUUAUAAUGUUCUCAUUGUGGUAAUGUUGGUAAGUUUUUAGAUUUGUUUCCAUGUCACAACCAUUCUUGGGCAUGUGCUAAUCACUCCUCGAAACAACAUAGUUGAUCAAGCUAUGCCACUACCAAGACUGACCAUACAUCCUCGAGCUUACCUGUGAUAUUCAACAAUCUCAAUACUUUUGUUCUUGUCAUUGUGACACGGAUUUUAGUAUGAAUGCUCCAUCUUCUCAAAAACAUGGCCAUCGCACCUGUCUAACUGAUGACCAGAGAAUACAAGUUAUUUUGAAAGCGAGUAUCAGCUUUAAAGCUGGUGAAUUCAUAAGUAUUUAUGUGUUAUUGUCCUGUUUUGGAAUGCUGUUAAGAAUGUCGUAUAAAUCCUUAAAUAGAACAGUUGAUAUAACUAUGAAAUGUGAUCUUCUUCCAAGCCCCGAAUG
rnacentral:lncRNA from 1 species